GCUGGGCGUGGUGGCGCGCGCCUGUAAUCCCAGCUACUCAGGAGGCUGAGGCAGGAGAAUCGCUUGAACCGGGGAGGUGGAGGUUGCAGUGAGCUGAGAUCGGGCCACUGCACUCCAGCCUGGUGACAGAGCGAGACUCCGUCUCAA
rnacentral:SRP_RNA from 1 species